rnacentral:rRNA from 1 species
GUGGGGAAUCUUAGACAAUGGGGGCAACCCUGAUCUAGCCAUGCCGCGUGGACGAUGAAGGCCUUAGGGUUGUAAAGUCCUUUCGCUGGGGAAGAUAAUGACGGUACCCAGUAAAGAAGCCCCGGCUAACUCCGUGCCAGCAGCCGCGGUAAUACGGAGGGGGCUAGCGUUGUUCGGAAUUACUGGGCGUAAAGCGCGCGUAGGCGGAUUGGAAAGUUGGGGGUGAAAUCCCGGGGCUCAACCCCGGAACUGCCUUCAAAACUACCAGUCUAGAGUUCUGGGGAGGUGAGUGGAAUUCCGAGUGUAGAGGUGAAAUUCGUAGAUAUUCGGAGGAACACCAGUGGCGAAGGCGGCUCACUGGCCAGAUACUGACGCUGAGGUGCGAAAGCGUGGGGAGCAAACAGGAUUAGAUACCCGUGUAGUCC